UACCAGCACCCCGAGUGGUCGUGACGAUUAUUGGGCCUAAAGCAUCCGUAGCCGGUCAUGCAAGUCCUCCGUUAAAUCCACCUGCUUAACAGAUGGGCUGCGGAGGAUACUACAAGGCUAGGAGGCGGAAGAGGCAAGCGGUACUCAGUGGGUAGGGGUAAAAUCCUCUGAUCCAUUGAAGACCACCAGUGGCGAAGGCGGCUUGCCAAUACGCGCUCGACGGUGAGGGAUGAAAGCUGGGGGAGCAAACCGG
rnacentral:rRNA from 1 species